rnacentral:rRNA from 1 species
AGCAGCCGCGGUAAUUCCAGCUCCAAUAGCGUAUAUUAAAGUUGUUGCAGUUAAAAAGCUCGUAGUUGAAUUUCGGGAUCAAUAUAUCGGUCGUGCCUUCGGUACGUACUGGUAUCAUUGGUUUCUCCUUUCUGACGAACCAUGAUGUCAUUAAUUUGGUGUUAUGGGGAGUUAGGACUGUUACUUUGAAAAAAUUAGAGUGUUUAAAGCAAGCUAACGCUUGAAUACAUUAGCAUGGAAUAAUGAAAUAGGACGUUCGAUCCUAUUUUGUUGGUUUCUUAGGAUUGACGUAAUGAUUAAUAGGGAUAGUUGGGGGCAUUAGUAUUCAAUUGUCAGAGGUGAAAUUCUUGGAUUUAUUGAAGACUAACUACUGCGAAAGCAUUUGCCAAGGAUGUUUUCAUUAAUCAAGAACGAAAGUUAGGGGAUCGAAGACGAUCAGAUACCGUCGUAGUCUUAACCAUAAACUAUGCCGACUAGGGAUCGGAUGAUGUUAAUUUUUUAACGUAACUUCAUUUCGGCG